rnacentral:rRNA from 1 species
CCGCUGAACUUAAGCAUAUCAAUAAGCGGAGGAAAAGAAAAUAACAAUGAUUCCCUUAGUAACGGCGAGUGAAGGGGGAUAAGCUCAAAUUUUAAAUCUGCUAGGUUUUACCUAUCAGAGUUGUAAUUUGAAGAAGCGUUUUCCGCGUCUCGGUUGACCCAAAUCCUUUGGGAUAUGGUAUCAUGGAGGGUGAGAAUCCCGUUCGGUUGACCUUGUGACGCUUUAUGAUACGUUUUCAAAGAGUCGAGUUGUUUGGGAUUGCAGCU